rnacentral:rRNA from 1 species
CACGUAGGGGGCGAGCGUUGUCCGGAUUUAUUGGGCGUAAAGAGCUCGUAGGCGGUUCGGCAAGUCGGGUGUGAAAUUUCGAGGCUCAACCUCGAAACGCCACUCGAUACUGCUGUGACUGGAGUCCGGUAGAGGAGUGCGGAAUUCCUGGUGUAGCGGUGAAAUGCGCAGAUAUCAGGAGGAACACCAACGGCGAAGGCAGCACUCUGGGCCGAUACUGACGCUGAGGAGCGAAAGCGUGGGGAGCGAACAGG